rnacentral:rRNA from 1 species
AUACCUAGUUGCUUCGGCGGCGCGCCUCCGGGCGUGCCCGCCGGCCAAUUAUAGUCUCUUAGUUGUGAAUCGACGUUACAUCUGAGUGUUCUAAGCGAACUGUUAAAACUUUCAACAACGGAUCUCUUGGCUCCAGCAUCGAUGAAGAACGCAGCGAAACGCGAUAUGUAGUGUGAAUUGCAGAAUUCAGUGAAUCAUCGAAUCUUUGAACGCACAUUGCGCCUUCCAGUAUCCUGGGAGGCAUGCCUGUCCGAGCGUCGUUUCAACCCUCGAGCCCCCGUGGCCCGGUGUUGGGGACGCUGCCCAGCUACCUGGGCAGCCCCCCUAAAUGCAGUGGCGGUCCCGCAAGUCCCAGCCCUUUGCGUAGUAAUAUCAUUCUCGCUCUGGACGGCUCGCGGGCUUACCAGCCUCGAAACCCCCUACAAAGACCGCCCCGG